rnacentral:rRNA from 1 species
GACGAACGCUGGCGGCGUGCUUAACACAUGCAAGUUGAACGAGAAUUUUUCGAGUGAUUUCUUCGGAAUGAUCAUGAAAACGGAAAGUAGCGAACGGGUGAGUAACACGUGAGAAACCUGCCUUUCACAAAGGGAUAGCCUCGGGAAACCGGGAUUAAUACCUUAUGAAACCAAACACUCGCAUGAGAGAUUGGUUAAAGAUUUAUCGGUGUUAGAUGGUCUCGCGUCUGAUUAGCUAGUUGGUGGGAUAAUAGCCUACCAAGGCAACGAUCAGUAGCCGGAUUGAGAGGUUGAGCGGCCACACUGGAACUGAGACACGGUCCAGACUCCUACGGGAGGCAGCAGUGGGGAAUUUUGCACAAUGGAGGAAACUCUGAUGCAGCGACGCCGCGUGAGUGAUGAAGGUCUUCGGAUUGUAAAACUCUGUCCUUAGUGAAGAUAAUGACAGUAACUAAGAAGCAAGCCCUGGCUAAAUACGUG